CGUGAUGCGUGUACUAUUCUUGCUCUGUCUGUUUGUGAUAAUAGCGCAGGCGUAUGAUGACAGAGCGGGUACCGUGACGAGCGUUAGGUCGCCAAAUCCCACAGCUUUACGGAAACUAUCAUUUUUCAAUUCUAUUGCUACUCUGGCUGAGAUCAUAGCUAAUGUUUUGGGGAUAGUUAUGGUAAAAUAUCUACAU